UAUUUCUUAGUCUGCUUGGUUGCAGAACGAAGAUAAUUCCGCAACUGAUUCGAGAAUCGGAUUUGGUCUUUCAGUUUCUAGAAAUUGAAUUAUCAAUUAUUUAAGUUUAUUAGCGACAAACAGCGCGUUUGUUCAAUUGGCAAAGAUGACUAAAAGUUCCUUCAAGAUAGAGCAUGAUUUUC